GGAUAUAGGAUUUAAUAUAACUUGUAAUGGUAUUCACAGUGUCAGAAUCGUAAGAUAGCAGCACAUAAUAAAACGACAAUGUUAGUAUUAAAACUAUAUCUA
rnacentral:SRP_RNA from 1 species